rnacentral:lncRNA from 1 species
AUGAGUUGUUUAUAUUCCAAUGGGAGUUUAUUAUAUUCCUCUGUUAUACCGCUUAUAUGGCUACUAUUGGUUAUUUCGAGAAAUCGUGUAAUCCUGCUAAGAAAUCUUCCUACUUUACUUAAAAUGGCUUUACCAGCAUUUCGCAGAUCACUGCUUCAUUUGACCAGUUCAGUUCUUCAGACGCAGUACCGAACUUCCUACUAUAUUCUCUUACCAGAACUUGGUCAAAAAGAUACUGAAAAGUUGCAGUACUCAGUGAAUGAUUCAUUACCUGAUUUUCGCAAUCUUUCACUCGAAUCAUGUGUGAGUAUAGUCGAAAAUUCUUGCAUCGAUUACAAUUUGGGUGUCAGAAAUCUGCGUGGCAGUAUUAAAGGUAAAAAAAAAUUAUCUUAAUUUUAUUCACUGUGCCUAGUUUAGAGAAAAAAGCCUUGUAUCUCCAUUGCAGAUUUUAAAUUUUUUCACGAUAAUAAAAUGCUCUAUUUUUUUUUUUUUUUUUUUUUAGUGUAAAUACACUAUUGUAUUCUCCCAUGAUGUCGGACCCAGACCUGAGACCUUGUGAAGAGCACCGAUCACGCGUCGUAGAUCAUGGAAAUAUAUGCCAUUCAUAUAUACAUGCUUUCGGUGCUCCGGUAAUCAGAUGACCGAAUGGUCUGUUUACAAAGUUAUCAGUCUGGCCCGUGCCAUAUAGCGGAUCUAUCACGAUCGUUUUAGCUUUAUUUUCUUUUUUAAAAUCGGCUGGAGAUGAGAGCUAUUUACAGUCCAGUCAACGAAGGGAAAAGGCAACGAAGGUAAGGAGAAGGGUUAAAAGUGAGUUUUUUGAAAACACUCCUUUUGAAGUAUAUGAUCGAUGGUUACAAAUUCAGCUUUUUUCCAGUGUGUUCCACUAACAGCCCUUAUUUUCCCUUCGUGGACUGGACUAUUAGGUAGCCCCAAAACGUCCCAAAAAACGAAAAUCGUAGGGUAUUUUGACACGAGAAAAGCGAAUUUGACGUCAGAUUUUCAAAAAACUAAAUUUUCCAAAAUUCCUCCGCUUCAAGUUCAAAAUGGCCGAAAAUUGGCAUCUCGGUUAUUUGUUGAUGGAUUUGCCUGAAACUUGGGACUAAGAGGUAUUACGGCAUGAUAUUAACUAAUUUAAAUUCGCCCAUUUAUUUGCAAGAAUUUGCCCAUGAAAAAAUGUCAAAAAACUUAAUGAUCGAUGAUGCAAAAUUUCCUUGAUGGAUGGUUGGCUGAAGAGAAGAAAAAUCCUUAAACAAGACGACUGUAUGAUUAACCUCGUGAACGUGAUAGGCGAAUCAGAGUCCCAUUUCCAGUGAAUCCUUCCUCUUGCCAGAUAUAGUAGAGCUGUACCCGGUUUAGUUUUACCCUAGGGAACCGGCGCCUCCAACCAUGUAAUUAGUAGAAGGGUGGUGGAGAGAGAGAGGAAGAGACUCCUUCUAAUGAGCGCCGCUAUAACUCUCCCGAAGGCAGCAACGGCGGGCACUCACUAUAGAGAGUCUUGGGGGUCUUAUCAGCACCCUAGAGCGGUGGCCUCGAAACACGUCAGUUAUCACUCUCCCGAAGGCAGCAACGGCUAUCGCAGGUGUAGGGUCAAUCUAAGUUGCGAAUUCUCCCGAUUAAAUGAGUCCAAAUCUCUUUGGGACUCACUUUUAUUUUUAUCAUCACUUGUUCAUUACAUGCGUCAAGUAAUGUAGCGAUUUUUGACUCUUGUUGUGCGGACAUAAAUUUCAACAAUCAGGCUGCAGUUUGAUUUUAUACUCGUGCAACAGAGUUAUUCUGAAUACACAAGGUUUGAAUAUUGGCUGGUUCAAUGCCAGAUCUGGGGAAAGAAAGAACAGGAUACAUACAUGUCGCAUCAAUCUGAAUGCAUCAAUCAUUACUUUGCCCAUCGGUUGGCACGCAAAUUUCUGCCUAAUGCUGCCAUUUUCUCAUGCAACAUUUGUCCAUUAUGUUCUUUCUCCAGUUUUAGCAGACUAUAUAUUCGGAAACUUUUGUGAGAGAUUGAUGAAUAAGAUUCGAUUGAUCUGAAUUCAUUAAAUAAUUAUAAUUAGAAUGAGUCAGUUAAGCUCGGGAGGGAUUUGCCUGCAAAUAGUCGAAUCCUACAGUUUCCGGUACGAGAAGAACGAUGCGCACGUUAAAAUUUCACAAAAAAUUGUCUCCGCGGAGAUAUAACGCUUCCUUUUUAGGGGUCCUCGAAAACAUGUUUGAACCGACCGCCGUGAAUCUUCGAAUCUACGCGUCAUAGAACGGGAAGAUGGCGGCGCAGAAGCCGACCUGCUUACUACCGCCACGCCGCCGUUGUUGACAUCACGAUUUCUCGUUUGAGGUUAAGUAAGUUCUGUGUGAAUGUUUCAUAUCCUACAUACAUCUGUAUCGCAUUCUGAUUGAACAGCUUAAAGAAUUAAGAACAAUGGCUAUGAAUCUCAAACAAAGUAACCUACAUAACCUCCAAUUUACCAACAAAAACAUACCGCCAAUGCGACGCCGCCGUGUAUUCUUCUACCACGCAUUCCGCCGGCAUAUUGAUCGUGACGUGUACACUCGAAACCUACGAGCGCGCAGUUCUAACGCCGUUUUAGGCCACCCUAAUUUUUGGCACUUUCAAAUAAACUUUUCUCCCGUUUGCAGUCAUAAAAAAAAUAAGGAAAAAAACUAUAAGCUUCGAUCACUUACUACUUUCGAAUGACACAUUAAAAAAAAUGACUUAACUGACUCAUUGCUUCAAGGGGGUCUUGUUUCGGAUGCCAGAAUAUUAGUCAACAUUUUCUUUCUUCUUUUUCUUUAAUGACGCUGCAGCCUGAGGUGAGCUUUGACCUCCAAGACGAUGCAUCUCCAUCCUACUCUGUUCAUGGUCUUUUCUUUCCAUCCUAUCACUUUGAUAAGUCUAAGAUUUUUCUCUACUUCAUCUUGCCAUCUAGCCCUGGCCUUCCUCUCUUUCUCUUUGAUAAAACUUUGGCUUUCAUGAUUAUCUUCGGCAUUCUUUCCUCCUCCAUUCUGCUAAUGUGUCCUAGUCAUUGAAUUCUUUGCGAUUUAAUGAAUCGAACUAUAUCUUCUUGUUCCAGUAUCUUGUCGAUUUCGCUGUUGUUUCGAAUUCUCCAUUCUCCAUUUUCUUUGAUGGCUCCAAAAAUCCCUCUUAUGAUUUUUCUCUCAAAUCUUUGCAGCAUGCCCCUAUCAUUCUCUGUCGUAGUCCACGUUUCUCCGCCAUCUGUAACGAUUGGUCUAAGAAGGGUCUUAUAUAUUUGUAACUUGGUCUUCUGAGAUAUCAGUUUGCUUCGAAUUAGUUCCAAAUUGGCAUAAGAUGCGGCAGUACCUGUUUGUAUUCUAUCUUUAAUUGACGUAGUUGUUCUGUCCUCAUAAUCGAUUAGGUUUCCUAGAUACUUGAAUUUUUUGACUCCUUCAAAUUCUUUGCCAUCAAUUAUUAAGUUUUGCGAUUUUCCUCUUGACUCUGAGGGUGAUAAUACUAUGUACUUGGUUUUCAUUACUUUUAUCACUAGUCCUAAAUCUCUUGCUCUUUUUUCGAAUUCGUUUUAGAUCUCUAUUAGUUUUUCUUUAGUUCUCGCAAUUAGGGCAAUGUCAUCUGCAUAAGCACAUGUUUGACUAGACUUUGUGAAAAUUGUCCCUCUUUGGUCGACAUGUUUAACUGCCAUGUGCAGUGCUAUUAUAAAUAAUGUACUUGACAAUCCAUCCCCUUGCUUUCCGCCUUUGCUAAAAUCGAAUACCUACAUUGCUCACUUUAUCUCCUAUUUUAACCUUGGCUUUGGUGCCACUCAUGGUCGUUGUUAUAAGUUUGAUAAGCUUUCUUGGUACUUUCAUUUCAUCUAGGGCCUUUAUUAGUGCCUUUCUAUUGACACUGUCAAAUGCCUCUUUAAAGUCUACGAAGAGCAUGUAUAAAUCGAUUCCAUACUCAUGACAUUUUUUUCAGGGUCUGUCUGAUCACAAUAAUUGAUCGGCUGUGCCUCUUCCUGGUCGAAAACUGCAUUGGUAUUCACCUAUCUCCUUUUCUACUACCGUCUUCAGUCUUUCAUUUAAAAUUGAUGACAUUAUUUUAAAUGCUGUGCUUGAGAGUGUAAUGUCUCUGUAAUUUUUGCAUUCUAAUUUGUCUCCUGUUUUGAAUAAUGGACAAAUUGUUCCGAUGUUCCAUUUUGAUGGAAUUCUUUCAGAUUUCCAUAUUGCUUUGAUUAAAACGUGUAUUUCUUUUAUUAACAUUUGUCCUCCUUUUUGAAGGAGCUCUCCUGUAAUUCCAUCUUCGCCUGCAACUUCAUUAUUUUUCAUUCUUCUGAUUCUCUCUGCAACUUCAUCUACACUCGGUGUUUGUGACAAAUCAUCCUCAUCUAUGUGGUCUUCUUCUUUUUCCGUCGUUUCUUUGUCGUUCUACAUAUAUCAUCCUUUCCUUUUCGUUUAGCAGCUCUUCAAAAUGUUCUGCCCAUCUCUCCAGUAUGUUCUUCUCUUCUCCCAGUAACUGACCAUCUUUACCUCUGCAUCCGCUUGUUUUCGGAUGAAAUCCUUUUCUCAUUCUAUUUACUGCAGCGUAAAAUUGUCUACUCUCAUUUUGUUUGCUUAGUUGUUCUAUUUCUUCUGGUUUUCAUAGCUUGGUUGUUCUUAUGUGGUAGGGUUGCUAGCCCUACAUACAACCCUCCUCCUUUUCCUGGGCUUGGGACCAGUAAGAGGAAAACAUCUCGCCUUUACGCGGAGUUAUAUUAGUCAACAUAUUCAUUGAAAAAUACAUUUUUUUUGUCUUAGAGACCAGCAGAUUUGUUCAUUCUAAUUGAAUUAUUUGCUUGUGUUUUUCCAGAUAAAAAAUAAAGAUGUGU